UUUUUAGAAUGUGUUUGACUUGAAAAUGACCCAAACAAUCUCGCAUUUGGGGAAAAAAAUCAAGUUUUAAAAUUUUACCGGUGUUCAUGAAAAAUAAUUGUGGUAUAAACUGUUUCACAAUGCGCUAAAAUCGCCAUGUUGUGACGUACUGUCAUAAAAAGUAGAAGUCACGGGGUGUCGAGGAUCCUUAAGCGAUUAUCUUAACGUGUAAAUUGAUCAAAUGGCUAGAUUUUUAAAGAUAUACUGCAGGCAAAGACUCUCCAAACAUAAAAUACAUAUAUAUUCAACGUUACAAACUCACACAGUCAAGGUUCUCGACAUUGACCAUGGACAGCUUUCUUUUUUGAAAAUAAAAAUAAAAAUUCUGGAAUUGGCAUGAGCAGAUUAAGACUUCUAUUGUUUAAUCAAAUAAAUAUACAGAGAUAAAAAACCGACGGUAUUAUGAAAAUCAUGUUAUUAACGUUGAGUUUUUUUUAAGGUAAUGACAUGCUACAUAGAUUGACAUCAAUGAACCCCCAAGAACUGCGAGUAGAUAUGGAGAGAUUUAAUGGAGAGAAAGCCUAUGCUGUAUACUCUUAUUUUUCUGUCGGGGACGAGGCCAGUAAAUAUCAGCUACAGGUGACUGGAUACAGUGGGAAUGCAGGGGAUAGCCUGGAUUACAACAACAACAUGAUGUUUACUACACUGGACCAGGAUAACGACAGGAACCGCCUUAACUGUGCCGCCUACAUGAGAUCGGCAUGGUGGUUCAACGACUGUUCCAGAACCAACCCUAAUGGACAAUACACCGACUCUGAGAAAACUGGUAGUAUAUGCAUUACAUGGAAACUCUGGAAAGACUCCUAUAUAUCUCUGAAAUCAAUACAGCUGAUGAUUCGUCCCCGAGCCUGACACCGAAAUGUAACUUUAUCCUCAUUAUGUUGCUAAAUGUAGCAGUUCUCUCUCUCUGUGUAUUUACUUUAUUUACCUGCAUGUUUUUGUUUGUCAAUUGACUAUCAGACACUUUUGCACCAUUAUGUAAAUAUUUAAAGUAUUGUUUUUUCUUUAUAAAUAUAUGUAUUUUAAAUGAAUUAUAUUUUGCUUUCAUUUAUAAGAAUUAUGAUGUAAAAGAAAUGUUUAAACCACUUUGUUUAGUUUGUAUAAAUUAUUAAGCAGUGCGAUGACACUUCUAAUAUUGAAUGGUACUGGUUUUUUAUGCAAAAUUACGAACAAUUUUAGCACUAAUCAGAGUAUUUAUAUUCAUUUGAAAUUAGACACCACUCUUUUACAAACAAUUACAAAUUAAAUAGACAGUUUUCCAUAUCUAGGAAAAAUCUUAAUCUUACAUACAUAUUCGACAAUCCCCUUCAUAUUUUUUUUAUUUGAGUUCAAUGUCCUUAACUUUAAUAUGCCUCUUCGUGUAUUCUGACAUAAAUCUUUGUCAAGUAAUAAACUGUUUGUUAACAUU
rnacentral:misc_RNA from 1 species